CAGUCGCCACGGUAAAACGUAGGGUGCGAGCGUUAAUCGGAAUUACUAGGCGUAAAGCGUGCGCAGGCGGUUCGUUAAGACAGAUGUGAAAUCCCCGGGCUUAACCUGGGAACUGCAUUUGUGACUGGCGAGCUAGAGUAUGGCAGAGGGGGGUAGAAUUCCACGUGUAGCAGUGAAAUGCGUAGAGAUGUGGAGGAAUACCGAUGGCGAAGGCAGCCCCCUGGGCCAAUACUGACGCUCAUGCACGAAAGCGUGGGGAGCAAACAGGAUUAGAUACCCGCGUAGUCCCUGUCUCUUAUAC
rnacentral:rRNA from 1 species